UCCCGUCCCGGCCUGGCGGGCACGGCACAAACGGCACCGGCACCGCCGGGCCGGGCCGCGGGACCGCCGGGGAGGCCCUGGGGGCGGGCACCGGGGCGCGACAGCGGCGGCUCCGCCCCUUCCGGGCGGCGGGAGGCGGGGGCGCCUCCGAGACCGGGACCGGGUCCGAGGCGGGCGGUGACGGUGUCUGUGCCCCGCCGAGGGCGGCUGCGUCUCCUCCUCCGCUGGCCGCCGAGCGCAGAGCCUGGUCCCGGGGGCGCUGGAUGUGUCGGGCUGUGGCCGUCCCGGGAGAGCCGUGGCCGUGCCGCGCCGCCAGCGAUGAUUCCCCGCUGACAGGCUGAGCGGCACCGACUGCAGCCGGGGAUGGUUCCACCACUAACUGCGGGGAGGCCCAGGUAGGAGCCAGGCCAUGGGGGCCACGCCGGGGCCGGCACGUCCCCGCUGCCCUCCGUAGCCCGACAGCAGCCGGCAGCCACUCUGAGGGCCACCAUGGAGCGGCCCCCGCGUGUGCCCGGGCCCCGCUGGCUCCUGGGCUGCUUCAGGCGGGAGCCACAGGCCGUGCGGGAGGAGACGCUGCCGGAGCCGGAGGAAGCCGAGGAGACGCGCGUGGCGCUGUCCCCGGGCGAGGGCCGCUCGCUGGAGGAGUGUCCGUUGUGCCUGCUGUCCCAGCCCCCCGAGGCCUUUCCCACUCUGGCCUGCUGCGCCCACCGCUCGUGCCGGGCCUGCCUGGAGCAGUACCUGCGCCUGGCCAUCACCGAGAGCCGCGUGCUGGUGUCGUGCCCGCACUGCCCCGCCGCGCUCCCCCCCGCCGACGUGCGCCGGCUGCUGCCGGAGCCCGCCCUCCGCGACAAGUACGAGGAGUUCCUGCUGCGGCGGCUGCUGGUGGCCGACCCCGGCACCCGCUGGUGCCCCGCGCCCGACUGCAGCUAUGCUGUCCUCGCCCACGGCUGUGCCGAGUGUCCCCGCCUCACCUGCGGGCGCGAGGGCUGUGGCACCGAGUUCUGCUACCACUGCCGGCAGCCCUGGCAUCCCGAUGGCCCCUGUGUGCCAGCGCCACCGGCCUCUGGCCUGGCCACCCCCACAGCACAGCUGACCCAGCCCGAGGACUCAGCCCACGCUGAGGCUGAGGACAUCAAGGUCUGUCCCCGCUGCAGCGCCUUCAUCAUGAAGAUCAACGAUGGGAGCUGCAACCGCAUGAACUGCACGGUCUGCGGGUGCCUCUUCUGCUGGCUCUGCCUGCGGGAGAUCUCUGACGUGCACUUCCUGAGCCCCUCUGGCUGUACUUUCUGGGGGAAGAGGCCAUGGUCGCGGACCCGGAGGAUCCUGUGGCAGCUGGGCAUGGUGCUGGGUGCACCCAUGGUCAUCUCCCUCGUCGCAGGCGUUGCUGUCCCUGUCAUUACCAUUGGGAUCCCCAUCUACAUGGGUAGGAAGGUGCUGGGCCAGAGCCGGCGGAGCAGCCUGUCAGGGUGCCAGCAGUGCCUCUCUGUCACCAGCAGUGUCCUUCUCUCUCUCUUUGUGUCCCCCAUCAUAACAGCCAUCACCGUGGGUAUCGGUGUGCCCCUGAUGCUCACCUACGUGUACGGGACCGUGGUGCUGUCACUGUGCCGGAGCCGCUGGGGCUGUGGGGGUGGCCGCACAUCUGGAGACGUUGGCAUGGUAGAGCUGGAGAACCUGGCCAAGUUGAAUGAGCUGUGGUCGGUGCUGCCCAGCCCAAACCGCAGCCACAGGCCAGGUGAGGACGGAACCCCAGACCCCACCGCCUCCCUCCCCAGCAGCAGCCACAGCCAGCGCCCCAGGCCAGCAUGGGACAGCCAGUCAGCCAGCACGGUGGCACUGGCGGGGAGCAUGCUGAGCGAGGGCCAGGACACCUCCGACAGGGAAGGCAUCACCAUCGAGGUGGAGGUGUCGGUUGAAGCGGUGCCGCGUCCUGCCCGGCAGCAGAGCCUGAGCAGCGCCCUGUCUGGACAGAGUCUCUCUGGGGACUCCCUGGGAGCUACCAGUGACAGGGGUAGCUCUGUGGGUGUCCCUGUGGAGUGAGAGGGUUGAGAGGAAGAGCCUCGAUCCGCACACAAGCCCAGUGCUCUCCUGUGGCAGAGCCAGUCCCCCUCUGCGGGCACUCCCAGCCCCAAGAGGUGGGUCCCUGUGGCUUGCCGGGUCUGUGGCUCUUUCUGCUGCACAGGGAGAGCCCACCUUUCCAUCUGUGUUUUGCAGCCCAGGGACUUCACUCCUGCAGGAGCAGCCACAGACACAGACUGUCUCCAGAGGCUCGUGUCUGCUCUGAGAAUCCUCAGCAGGAUCCCUCAUCCUGGGGGAACCGGGAACCACAGGCCAAAGCCCGGCAGUGCUCCAAGACCCCAAGGACAAAUGUCCUUCCCCCCCACCUUCCUCAUCUC